AUUAACGAAACGCGAGGCGAGGUCGUAGCUGGUCCCCUCGGGGGGCAACGUGCACGCCUCGUCGACGUCUCUUCUCUCUCACCCCUGUGCACCUCUGCGUCGGGUCCCGUCGGUUCGGGGCUCUGCGUCCUUUUUAUAAAACGCUCGCAUGUACGAGAACGUGUUAUCAUCAUAAUAAUACAACUUUCAACAACGGAUCUCUUGGCUCUCGCAUCGAUGAAGAACGCAGCGAAAUGCGAUAAGUAAUGUGAAUUGCAGAAUUCAGUGAAUCAUCGAAUCUUUGAACGCACCUUGCGCCCCUUGGUAUUCCGAAGGGCACACCUGUUUGAGUAUCGUGAAAUCCUCAACCCUUUCGCGUCGUCGAAGGGCUUGGACUUUGGAGGUCUUUGCUGGUCCCCCCCCGGAUCGGCUCCUCUUGAAUGCAUUUAGUGGAGCUUCGUUCCUGCUGUCGGCCUGCCCUUCGGUGUGAUAAUUCAUCCGCAUCGAUCGAGCGUUUCGUGAACCAGAGGGACGUUCUCCGCUUCUAACGCGUGCGAGACUUUUUUUUGAUCUCAAAUCAGGUGGGACUACCCGCUGAACUUAAGCAUAUCAAUAAGCGGAGGAAAAGAAACUAACGAGGAUUCCCCUAGUAACUGCGAGUGAAGCGGGAAAAGCUCAAAUUUGAAAUCUGGCGGUCUCUGGC
rnacentral:rRNA from 1 species